UGACAUCACGUGAUCUACCCUGAAGCAAU
rnacentral:piRNA from 1 species